rnacentral:rRNA from 1 species
UACGUAGGGGGGCAAGCGUUGUCCGGAAUCAUUGGGCGUAAAGCGCGUGUAGGCGGCUUGGUAAGUCCGCUCUGAAAAGCCCGGGGGCUCAACCCCCGGGAGGCGGGUGGAUACUGUCAAGCUCGAGUCCGGAAGAGGCGAGUGGAAUUCCUGGUGUAGCGGUGAAAAUGCGCAGAUAUCAGGAGGAACACCAAUGGCGAAGGCAGCUCGCUGGGACGUGACUGACGCUGAGACGCGAAAGCGUGGGGGAGCAAACAGG